rnacentral:rRNA from 1 species
UACAGGGGGUGCGAGCGUUAAUCGGAGUUACUGGGCGUAAAGGGCGCGUAGGCGGUUAUGUGAGUGUGGUGUGAAAGCCCUGGGCUUAACCUAGGAAGUGCAUCGCAAACGACAUAACUGGAGUAUAAGAGAGGGUGGCGGAAUUUCCGGUGUAGCGGUGAAAUGCGUAGAGAUCGGAAGGAACGUCAAUGGCGAAGGCAGCCACCUGGCUUAAUACUGACGCUGAGGCGCGAAAGCGUGGGGAUCGAACAGG